CAGAAACAGCACCGAAAACACUGUAAUAAUACGAAAUAUUCCGAGUGUAUGCUUGGAUGUUACCGCGGAGGCUGGCUGGUAAACAAUGGGACGGCCGGCACAUGUGAGGGCACAUUGGACGCGUCUCGGACGAAAAUCGAUUCAUAGAUGUUAUGGUAGUGGGGGUGAAGAUAAUGGAGACUUGCAUGGUGCUCAGCCAAACAGAGAACCUGCCAUUCCUCCUUAUGAGGAAAAAAUUGGAGAGCCUCUACAUAUGAAAAAGGCCAGGGUCCGUGCCGUAGUUCUACGGCUUUGAGUGAGGGUCCAAACCGUAGAUCUACACCAUGAGCUCGGCUCACUCUGAUAAGCUGUGAGUGGUAAAUUUGGACCUAGAUAUGAGAGAAUACAUCAGUGUGGUAUGCGUGAACCACAUAAAACAAAUCCUGCAGCACACAGUGCAUAAUGAGAGAAAAAAAACUGAGACCGUAAUUUUUAUUAAAACAGCGACUUUUGCAGUGUUUUUUCGUAUUUUUUUAUAGUUGUAUUUGCUAUUUCUUGGUCUUAUUUGAUAGAAUGGAAGAUAUAUUACAGAAAUAGAGAUGAUUUUGAUUGGAUUUUUUACUGAAAUGGCUUGAAACUGAGCUCAAAGUAGCAGAAAUGUUAAAUUUUCGUCGAUGUUCAAGAGUAAACAAAUGACCUCACACGUCUAAUACACACCAGCUAGUGGGUCUAAUAUAUGUUCACAAAUGUGAUGAUAUUAUUUAUACAAUUAUUACAAUAUUGCAUAACAGUAAAUCUUCUAUUUUUUGGUUUGAAUAAAAAUUCAUUAUGUGAAUACAAAAAUAAAAAUGGAAUUCAUUUGUAAAGCCUGAAAACAUAACUAAUGAACAGAGGAAAUGUUAGUUUAGUACCAGGAAUGCCUGCAUUGU